AAUAUAUUUAAGCACAAGUCACAGAUCGCUAUAAGCAACACGUACAUAACCAUUUCUCCUCCGUCGCAAGACUUAAAAUCUUCCCAUUCCCGCAAAAAGCUCAUUUCCUUAGUCAGCUCCAUACUCACUUUGCAACGUCAUGCCGGAGGAACUCGUGGCGCCAUCACGUUUAAUACGCACUUAACUUUGCAUGCGGCGUUGUUUCAUGCGCCGUCAUUAAUUAUCCGCAAAAAGUUUCAAUCCAAAGGAAGUGGAUAGAGACUACUUUUGUCGGUCUGUCUCGGCUUCCGGUCGAUGCAGCCGGCGCGCCCUAACCUGUACAGACUCGUGACACUUUACUUGCGCUAGGCGAAAGAUUAAUGACACUUACUUGGGUAACUCUGCCGCCGCAUCCCAUUAAUACAUUACACGAUGUCCAUCUCUCUCUUUCUCGCGCUUCUCGAUCAUUGACAUCGUCGACUCAUCGUCGUCGCCGUUCAGAAACGAAUAGAUGUCGCUCUCGAAGAUUCGAUGCUCGAUGCUCUUCUCGCGUGUUAUAUCUCGUAAAUUUCAUUCCAUGGCCAAUCAACGAGCCAAGUCGAAUCGAACGUUUCUCGACGCUAGGCGUCGCCUCUCUCGGCAUGCAUCGCGCCAUUUCCUUCUGUUUAAUCUCUGAUUAAGUCGACUGAUUGUGCUAAUUGCUCUUUGCGAAUUACUUGUGUUUUACGACGUGUUCGUAAGACAUCCAUUCCAAGGAUGUUUCUUGCUGGCUCCCGUGCAAUUGGAAGAUUCUCUUCUUUCAGAGGAGGAUUCGAGACGAUUGAAAUACGAUAUGACGCUUAGUUUUACGAAAUAAAAAGGGACGCGUGUGUGAAAACAAUUGGAAAAAGAAAUAGCACUUGAUAUUAAGAAUACUUUACUUUAUGAUUUGUCAAGAAUUAAAUCUUUGACGGGUGAAAUAUCAUCGGUUGUCCAACAUCGUCUUUCAAACGGAGCAGCAAAUGUCAAUUCCUGCGGAAAGGUUCAUCGUGCAUCCGACUGCAACGGCACGAAAUUGCGACGUAUCUGUCUCCGAGG